rnacentral:rRNA from 1 species
GCGACACUCAGGUGUUGUUGGGUAGGGGAGCGUUCUGUAAGCCUGCGAAGGUGGCCUGUGAGGGUUGCUGGAGGUAUCAGAAGUGCGAAUGCUGACAUAAGUAACGAUAAAGCGGGUGAAAAGCCCGCUCGCCGGAAGACCAAGGGUUCCUGUCCAACGUUAAUCGGGGCAGGGUGAGUCGACCCCUAAGGCGAGGCCGAAAGGCGUAGUCGAUGGGAAACGGGUUAAUAUUCCCGUACUUGGUGUUACUGCGAAGGGGGGACGGAGAAGGCUAUGUUGGCCGGGCGACGGUUGUCCCGGUUUAAGCGUGUAGGUGUGUGUUCCAGGUAAAUCCGGUUCACUUUAACACUGAGGCGUGACGACGAGGCACUACGGUGCUGAAGCAACAAAUGCCCUGCUUCCAGGAAAAGCCUCUAAGCAUCAGGUAACAUCAAAUCGUACCCCAAACCGACACAGGUGGUCAGGUAGAGAAUACCAAGGCGCUUGAGAGAACUCGGGUGAAGGAACUAGGCAAAAUGGUGCCGUAACUUCGGGAGAAGGCACGCUGACACGUAGGUGAAGUGAUUUACUCACGGAGCUGAAGUCAGUCGAAGAUACCAGCUGGCUGCAACUGUUUAUUAAAAACACAGCACUGUGCAAACACGAAAGUGGACGUAUACGGUGUGACGCCUGCCCGGUGCCGGAAGGUUAAUUGAUGGGGUCAGCGCAAGCGAAGCUCCUGAUCGAAGCCCCGGUAAACGGCGGCCGUAACUAUAACGGUCCUAAGGUAGCGAAAUUCCUUGUCGGGUAAGUUCCGACCUGCACGAAUGGCGUAAUGAUGGCCAGGCUGUCUCCACCCGAGACUCAGUGAAAUUGAACUCGCUGUGAAGAUGCAGUGUACCCGCGGCAAGACGGAAAGACCCCGUGAACCUUUACUAUAGCUUGACACUGAACAUUGAGCCUUGAUGUGUAGGAUAGGUGGGAGGCUUUGAAGUGUGGACGCCAGUCUGCAUGGAGCCGACCUUGAAAUACCACCCUUUAAUGUUUGAUGUUCUAACGUGGACCCGUGAUCCGGGUUGCGGACAGUGUCUGGUGGGUAGUUUGACUGGGGCGGUCUCCUCCUAAAGAGUAACGGAGGAGCACGAAGGUUGGCUAAUCCUGGUCGGACAUCAGGAGGUUAGUGCAAUGGCAUAAGCCAGCUUGACUGCGAGCGUGACGGCGCGAGCAGGUGCGAAAGCAGGUCAUAGUGAUCCGGUGGUUCUGAAUGGAAGGGCCAUCGCUCAACGGAUAAAAGGUACUCCGGGGAUAACAGGCUGAUACCGCCCAAGAGUUCAUAUCGACGGCGGUGUUUGGCACCUCGAUGUCGGCUCAUCACAUCCUGGGGCUGAAGUAGGUCCCAAGGGUAUGGCUGUUCGCCAUUUAAAGUGGUACGCGAGCUGGGUUUAGAACGUCGUGAGACAGUUCGGUCCCUAUCUGCCGUGGGCGCUGGAGAACUGAGGGGGGCUGCUCCUAGUACGAGAGGACCGGAGUGGACGCAUCACUGGUGUUCGGGUUGUCAUGCCAAUGGCACUGCCCGGUAGCUAAAUGCGGAAGAGAUAAGUGCUGAAAGCAUCUAAGCACGAAACUUGCCCCGA